rnacentral:rRNA from 1 species
CUGCGCGGAAGAUGUAACGGGGCUAAACCAUGCACCGAAGCUGCGGCAGCGACACUGUGUGUUCGUUGGGUAGGGGAGCGUUCUGUAAGCCUGUGAAGGUGGCCUGUGAGGGUUGCUGGAGGUAUCAGAAGUGCGAAUGCUGACAUAAGUAACGAUAAAGCGGGUGAAAAGCCCGCUCGCCGGAAGACCAAGGGUUCCUGUCCAACGUUAAUCGGGGCAGGGUGAGUCGACCCCUAAGGCGAGGCCGAAAGGCGUAGUCGAUGGGAAACGGGUUAAUAUUCCCGUACUUGGUGUUACUGCGAAGGGGGGACGGAGAAGGCUAUGUUGGCCGGGCGACGGUUGUCCCGGUUUAAGCGUGUAGGCUGGUUUUCCAGGCAAAUCCGGAAAAUCAAGGCUGAGGCGUGACGACGAGGCACUACGGUGCUGAAGCAACAAAUGCCCUGCUUCCAGGAAAAGCCUCUAAGCAUCAGGUAACAUCAAAUCGUACCCCAAACCGACACAGGUGGUCAGGUAGAGAAUACCAAGGCGCUUGAGAGAACUCGGGUGAAGGAACUAGGCAAAAUGGUGCCGUAACUUCGGGAGAAGGCACGCUGACACGUAGGUGAAGUGAUUUACUCAUGGAGCUGAAGUCAGUCGAAGAUACCAGCUGGCUGCAACUGUUUAUUAAAAACACAGCACUGUGCAAACACGAAAGUGGACGUAUACGGUGUGACGCCUGCCCGGUGCCGGAAGGUUAAUUGAUGGGGUCAGCGCAAGCGAAGCUCCUGAUCGAAGCCCCGGUAAACGGCGGCCGUAACUAUAACGGUCCUAAGGUAGCGAAAUUCCUUGUCGGGUAAGUUCCGACCUGCACGAAUGGCGUAAUGAUGGCCAGGCUGUCUCCACCCGAGACUCAGUGAAAUUGAACUCGCUGUGAAGAUGCAGUGUACCCGCGGCAAGACGGAAAGACCCCGUGAACCUUUACUAUAGCUUGACACUGAACAUUGAGCCUUGAUGUGUAGGAUAGGUGGGAGGCUUUGAAGUGUGGACGCCAGUCUGCAUGGAGCCGACCUUGAAAUACCACCCUUUAAUGUUUGAUGUUCUAACGUGGACCCGUAAUCCGGGUUGCGGACAGUGUCUGGUGGGUAGUUUGACUGGGGCGGUCUCCUCCUAAAGAGUAACGGAGGAGCACGAAGGUUGGCUAAUCCUGGUCGGACAUCAGGAGGUUAGUGCAAUGGCAUAAGCCAGCUUGACUGCGAGCGUGACGGCGCGAGCAGGUGCGAAAGCAGGUCAUAGUGAUCCGGUGGUUCUGAAUGGAAGGGCCAUCGCUCAACGGAUAAAAGGUACUCCGGGGAUAACAGGCUGAUACCGCCCAAGAGUUCAUAUCGACGGCGGUGUUUGGCACCUCGAUGUCGGCUCAUCACAUCCUGGGGCUGAAGUAGGUCCCAAGGGUAUGGCUGUUCGCCAUUUAAAGUGGUACGCGAGCUGGGUUUAGAACGUCGUGAGACAGUUCGGUCCCUAUCUGCCGUGGGCGCUGGAGAACUGAGGGGGGCUGCUCCUAGUACGAGAGGACCGGAGUGGACGCAUCACUGGUGUUCGGGUUGUCAUGCCAAUGGCACUGCCCGGUAGCUAAAUGCGGAAGAGAUAAGUGCUGAAAGCAUCUAAGCACGAAACUUGCCCCGAGAUGAGUUCUCCCUGAGACUUAGAGUCUCCUGAAGGAACGUUGAAGACGACGACGUUGAUAGGCCGGGUGUGUAAGCGCAGCGAUGCGUUGAGCUAACCGGUACUAAUGAACCGUGAGGCUUAACCUUACAACGCCGAAG